UGCAUCGGCCGGGAAUCGAACCCGAGCCGGGCGGCGAGCAUUUUACUACUGAACCAUCGAUGC
rnacentral:tRNA from 1 species